CGUGGGGGGCCUCGCAGGGGGCCGCGCUGCGGGCGCAGGGGCGCCCCUGUAGCCGCCAUUCUAGGGGAGGGGGCGGCAGCGCGGCGAGCGCUGCGGCCAGCCUAAAGCCGUCAGGUUGGAGUUAGACGAUCCACCUCGUGUGCAUGGCCGUGGGCGCUCUAGGUCGUCCGUCGCCUCUCGCCCACGGCCCACACCAGUUCGACCGGCACCACUCAGGUUGUCGUCACCUCUCGCAGUUCGCUGGUGCUCGGGCGCACUCCACUCCAGUCCGGUCGCCCGACGCCACUUGCCCACUCUAGUUCGGUCUGGCCGCCUCUCGCCCACUCCACACUCCCGUCCGACCGCCUGACGCUGUUCGCGUGUGUUUUACGCGCCGAUCCGCGCCGGUCAUCGAUGUCGUAUGCUGCUCCUCUGGUAGUUUUGUCCACUGCUCCUUUGCCGGUGUCGUUCACUGACAUCAUCCGAUCUCCUCUGUAGUCUGCACACGCUGCCUGCAGGCUCUUGUCUUGGCCUGGGAAAUCUGGUGCUAUGCCAUCCUAUUUUUUGGGGAGCAAGCAGCUGGCUACGAGAUAAACUUGUCCAGACUUUGAUAUUGCCUUGUGUUUUUCGUGUUAGUACGGGGUAUCUGUUGUGCUUGUUUCGUUGAAAAUAAUGGGAAAAGGUGAUUGCAUUAUGUGCAAAAA